rnacentral:rRNA from 1 species
UGGCGGCCAUGGCGGAGAGGUAAUACCCGUUCCCAUCCCGAACACGGAAGUCAAGCUCUCCUGCGCCGAUGAUACUGCGUAUGCGGGAAAGUAGGUCGCUGCCAG